CCUGGCUGGAUCUCUAUGGAGAGGGUAUGCUGUAUGCGCUCACGCAGCUCUUGGAGUUACUUCGCGGCCGAGGCAACACCGUGAAUGUUAAGUUUCACCGACCUGGAGAGCAGAAGAAGACACACUUAAUCUCAUUUUGAAUGCCUUUGCAAGGAGUUUGCUGGUUUCUGUGCUGCAGGCAGGGCUUCAGUUUGCUCGGACGGGACUAUGGGGAGAAAGAGGAGGAAGAGUCUUUUGAAUUGCGCAACAAGGAGGACUUGACUCCCAAUGGACGGACUCCAGCUGAGGUGACUGUUUCUCAGCCAACUCGCACAGCCAAUGGAACAAAUGGGUAAGGAGAGAGAGAAACAUCAACCCCCCUCCCCAAUUUUAGGAAGUAAUAGUUCCUUCUUUUACUUAUAUACUUCCUCUGAGUGCUGGGGAUUUCUGUAUUUAUCCUCAGGCAGGCACAUGUGUAAGGACUUGAUUUUUCACUUCCUCUGCAGUAUCUCGUGGGGUUCUCCUCGUGUGCAUGCAUGCCAGUAGUAUGGAGUCACAUGCGUAUUGACA
ensembl:lncRNA